UUAACUUGCUAUUUUUCCAGAUCAUGGUUCUGAAGACCCUGUGACACGUCCCAGUUCACCUACUGUCUUGUGAGUCAGAAUAUACAAAUAACUUUUUGGUCCUGACUUUCCCCACCCCUACAGGAUGGUGCCAUGACAAUGGUGUGAACUACAAGAUUGGAGAGAAGUGGGACCGUCAGGGAGAAAAUGGCCAGAUGAUGAGCUGCACGUGUCUUGGGAACGGAAAAGGAGAAUUCAAGUGUGACCCUCAUGAGGCAACGUGUUAUGAUGAUGGGAAGACGUACCACGUAGGAGAACAGUGGCAGAAGGAAUAUCUCGGUGCCAUUUGCUCCUGCACAUGCUUUGGAGGCCAGCGGGUAAGACCGGAUGUGCCAGGCUCCCUGCAAGUUAGAUAAGAUAAAGGGUGGGCUCCUGCAAGGAUGUGUCGUACACACAGGAGGGGCAGAGACCCUUCGGAAGUAUUAAAAUACCACAUUUCCUGUUGGCAUACAACUGCUGACAUAGAGCUCUAGAGCAGCUCUAUGUCUACCUUACAUGCCAUUCAUUCUUUCUAUUACUCUUAGUAGAA
rnacentral:sRNA from 1 species